GAGCUGGAGAAGAGACUCAGCGCUUUCUCUCUAAAAAGUGCCAUGCUGUAGGAGGUGCUGCUGGGAUUCAAAGAGAUGCUGCAACGGCAGCUGAGGAGCGACACAGGCUACAGAAUAACGUCCACGUUUUGCUCCAGAUC